UACGUAGGGGGCAAGCGUUGUCCGGAAUUAUUGGGCGUAAAGCGCGCGCAGGCGGCUUACUAAGUCUGGUGUGAAGGCCCACGGCUCAACCGUGGAGGGCCAUUGGAAACUGGUAGGCUUGAGUGCAGGAGAGGAGAGCGGAAUUCCCGGUGUAGCGGUGAAAUGCGUAGAUAUCGGGAGGAACAUCAGUGGCGAAGGCGGCUGCCUGGCUCAAUACUGACACUCAGGUGCGACAGCGUGGGGAGCAAACAGG
rnacentral:rRNA from 1 species